rnacentral:rRNA from 1 species
UACGUAGGCAGCAAGCGUUGUUCGGAGUUACUGGGCGUAAAGGGUGUGUAGGCGGUUCUUUAAGUUUGGUGUGAAAUCUCCCGGCUCAACCGGGAGGGUGCGCCGAAAACUGAAGGGCUAGAGUGCGGGAGAGGAGAGUGGAAUUCCUGGUGUAGCGGUGAAAUGCGUAGAUAUCAGGAGGAACACCGGUGGUGUAAACGGCUCUCUGGACCGUAACCGACGCUGAGACACGAAAGCGUGGGUAGCAAACAGG